AGACACUACAACUUUUAAACUGCUUCCUUGUUGAUAACCAUAUGAUGCAUAUACACCUCAACCAUUUAAACUGCCGCCCUCUCUUGAGGAACACUUGAAGUGCGAACACCGCGACUUUUCAUCUGUUUUUCACUAUUGAUGAACACAUAAUGCACGAGGAAGACAACUCUUAAACUCUUUCUUCUAGUUGCUGCUGAAUAUACUUUAUGUAGACACUUCAACAAGCUUCACUGCAUCUGCGCUAUACAUCUUCUCGGGACGCGAAAGAAAACAAGCACAGAGUGGAGCGCAUGAAACUCUCCACUCAGUCGCCGGCAUUGCUUAACUUGGGCUGAUUGCUUGAGGUUCGAAUCCUCACAGGGGACUCAGAUUGCAAUGAUUCUUCUUCACCAUGCUAUAUAUGAUACCAUUUUAAACUGGAUUUUAAGCUGAAAAAGAAGAGUGCAAGAAGUUAAAAAGAAGAUACUCUCCAAACCGGCUACAGCUUGUGUAUUUAUUUGACUUCGAAUGUCAAUGAUGCUGAUGAAAAGAGAAAAUUGAAUCCCUGCUUGAAUACAGACACAAUCCUCUGGUGGUUACAGCGACAACCGAAAUGAAUCUAGCACCCUCCGGGUUUAAUACCUUUAUCGACUAUUCUCGUUUCAUCAAAAACAAAA